rnacentral:rRNA from 1 species
CCUACGGGUGGCAGCAGUGGGGAAUAUUGGGCAAUGGAGGCAACUCUGACCCAGCAACGCCGCGUGAAUGAUGAAGGUCUUCGGAUUGUAAAGUUCUGUGAUGGGGGAUGAACACAAUGACGGUACCCCAAUAGCAAGCCACGCCUAACGACGUGCCAGCAGCCGCGGUAAUACGUAGGUGGCAAGCGUUAUCCGGAAUGACUGGGCGAAAAGGGGGCGUAGGGGGUUUAGUAAGUUGGCGGUGUAACGCCGGGGCUCAACCUCGGCGCUACCGCCAAAACUAUUAGACUAGAGGGCAGGAGGGGUAAGUGGAAUUCCUGGUGUAGCGGUGGAAUGCGUAGAUAUUAGGAGGAACAGCAGGGGCGAAGGCGACUUACUGGACUGUAACUGACGCUGAGGCACGAAAGCGUGGGGAGCAAACAGGAUUAGAUACCCUUGUAGUC